GCCUUCAUGGCGCAAUCGGUUAGCGCGUUCGGCUGUUAACCGGAAGGUUACCGGUUCGAGUCCGGUUGAAGGCG
rfam:Vavraia culicis subsp. floridensis unplaced genomic scaffold supercont1.4, whole genome shotgun sequence.